rnacentral:rRNA from 1 species
UACGGGGGGGGCAAGCGUUGGUCGGAAUUACUGGGCGUAAAGGGUCUGUAGGUGGCCAACUAAGUCAGACGUGAAAUCCCUCAGCUUAACUGGGGAACUGCGUCUGAUACUGGUUGGCUUGAGUGCAGGAGAGGAAUGCGGAAUUCCAGGUGUAGCGGUGAAAUGCGUAGAUAUCUGGAGGAACACCGGUGGCGAAGGCGGCAUUCUGGACUGCAACUGACACUGAAAGACGAAAGCCAGGGGAGCAAACGGG